AUUCUUGGUCAUUUUAGAGGAAGUAAAAGUCGUAACAAGGUUUCCGUAGGUGAACCUGCGGAGGGAUCAUUACUGAACGGCCUUCAACCUCGCAAACCUGUGGAAGCGAGACGUGCUUCGGCGCCCCGGCGUCGCUUUUAUGCCUCGAUCGGUCUCUGAGUCUGGACCGUGUACAAGUCUCCUGUUCAACAAAGGAUCUCUUGGCUCUCGCAUCGAUGAAGAACGCAGCGAAGCGCGAAAUGUAGUGUGAAUCGCAGAACAUUGUGAAUCAUCGAAUCUUUGAACGCACAUUGCGCCUCUAGUAACUUGGAGGCAUGCCUGUCUGAGCGUCAUUUAAAACCAUAAACCCAACUGGGUUUGUAUUGGGCGUCGUCCUCGGACGUAGCCUCAAAGUCAUCGGUCUUAUACGCGGACGAGCUCCAUUAGGACAGACCGUGUGUGGACUUUAAAUCUCUGACUUGACCUCAGAUCAGGUAGGACUACCGCCUGAACUUAAGCAUAUCAAUAAGCGGAGGAUCUUGGUCAUUUAGAAGAAGUAAGCAUAUCAAUAAGCGGAGGACCUUGGUCAUUUAGAGGAAGUAAGCAUAUCAAUAAGCGGAGGACCUUGG
rnacentral:sRNA from 1 species